UCUAGAGACAAAUUUGAGGCCAUCUGUCUCAAAGCUGAAGCUUAAAGUGGAUUAUGCAGCAGGACGGUUAUCCCAGACACAUCAACAAAUCUACAAAGAAAGUAAUCAGGGUAUCACAAUGGCGAGUGGGCCAAAAUUCCUGCACACCAAUUUCUCACACACCAAUAUGAGAAGCUGAUCAAGUAAUACAGAAAAUGAUUACUUCAGGUUUUUGCUACUAAAAGUGAAUCUGCAAACUAUUGAACUCAUAGUAUUUAAAUGUAAGAUGUAAAAAAUAUUUUACUUUAUUUUUCACAUAAAUGUAUAACUCUAGUAUACUUUAUUCUCUCAUAAGACAUAAUUUAUACUGUGAUUAAAAGGAUAAACAGUAAACAGUGUGAGGUCUUUCACUGCUGUUCAUCUGUUUACUUCAGAUUUGGCAUCUUCAGGAUCAGUGUUGCCUGUUUACAGCAGACCCCAAAGCAAGCCGGAUUCAUGGUGAUAUUUCUGCAUGCGCAUAUUCCCCUGCAAUGAAGUCUCUGUAUAUUGCAGCGGACUGUAUGACUAUGCUCCCUCUGAAGUUAAGGCAGCGGCUUCACCGUCACUUCACUGUUUCUCAUAAUGAGCCUGUUUUGUGCUGCGGUUACAGUAAGGAGUUUCGUCAGGUAGUCAGCUGCACUGAAGGAUCUGUUGUGAGAAUCUGGGAUUUUGACACUGGGUGUCAACUUUUUGAGUUUGGUGGCUCUCACGAACUGUCUUCUAUCACUUGUUUGACAUUUGAUCCCAAAG